rnacentral:rRNA from 1 species
AACGAACGCUGGCGGCAGGCUUAACACAUGCAAGUCGAGCGCCCCGCAAGGGGAGCGGCAGACGGGUGAGUAACGCGUGGGUAUCUACCCAUCUCUACGGAAUAACGCAUGGAAACGUGUGCUAAUACCGUAUACGUCCUUCGGGAGAAAGAUUUAUCGGAGAUGGAUGAGCCCGCGUUGGAUUAGCUAGUUGGUGGGGUAAAGGCCUACCAAGGCGACGAUCCAUAGCUGGUCUGAGAGGAUGAUCAGCCACACUGGGACUGAGACACGGCCCAGACUCCUACGAGAGGCAGCAGUGGGGAAUAUUGGACAAUGGGCGCAAGCCUGAUCCAGCCAUGCCGCGUGAGUGAUGAAGGCCCUAGGGUUGUAAAGCUCUUUCACCGGUGAAGAUAAUGACGGUAACCGGAGAAGAAGCCCCGGCUAACUUCGUGCCAGCCGCCGCCGUAAGAC